rnacentral:rRNA from 1 species
UACAGAGGUGCCAAGCGUUAGGCGGAAUCACUGGGCUUAAAGCGUGUGUAGGCGGGUGCCUAAGUACCUUGUGAAAUCCCCCGGCUCAACCGGGGAACGGCUGGGUAUACUGGGUGCCUUGGGUCAUCUAGGGGCUGCCGGAACAAAUGGUGGAGCGGUGAAAUGCGUAGAUAUCAUUUGGAACGCCAACGGCGAAAGCAGGCAGCUGGGGAUGCACCGACGCUGAGACACGAAAGCCAGGGGAGCGAACGGG